rnacentral:sRNA from 1 species
AAAAUAUCAUGAGAAAAAUGUAAUAAACUUAUCAUCGUUAUGUUUGAAACAAUAUAAAUUUUUCCUAUAUUUUAAUGGGCUUAUAGGCAAAGUAGACACUUUUUCAAAAAUAAUUUAAAAUAGGUAGUUUUUUUUUAAAUUAGAGAGAUAGAUACUUUUUUUGCUUUUGUGAGAUAGAGAAUUUGUCUAAUAGACUAAAAAACAAAAUACAUAUCAAAUACUAAAAUACCCUUUAUCUUGAGAGAGAAUAAAAAUUAUAUGAGAAACCAUUUUUACUUUAUUUCGUUUGUCUUUAUCUUUUUGUUU